UAGGGAAUCUUCGGCAAUGGGGGGAACCCUGACCGAGCAACGCCGCGUGAGUGAAGAAGGUUUUCGGAUCGUAAAGCUCUGUUGUUAAGGAAGAACGAGUGUGAGAAUGGAAAGUUCAUACUGUGACGGUACUUAACCAGAAAGGGACGGCUAACUACGUGCCAGCAGCCGCGGUAAUACGUAGGUCCCGAGCGUUGUCCGGAUUUAUUGGGCGUAAAGCGAGCGCAGGCGGUUAGAUAAGUCUGAAGUUAAAGGCAGUGGCUCAACCAUUGUAGGCUUUGGAAACUGUUUAACUUGAGUGCAGAAGGGGAGAGUGGAAUUCCAUGUGUAGCGGUGAAAUGCGUAGAUAUAUGGAGGAACACCGGUGGCGAAAGCUGCUCUCUGGUCUGUAACUGACGCUGAGGCUCGAAAGCGUGGGGAGCGAACAGG
rnacentral:rRNA from 1 species